rnacentral:tRNA from 1 species
GGGCCCGUAGCUCAGCCUGGAUAGAGCACUUCCCUCCUAAGGAAGGGGCCGAGGGUUCAAAUCCCUCCGGGCUCG